rnacentral:rRNA from 1 species
ACAGCAGUAGCCACGGUAAUACGUAGGGUGCGAGCGUUAAUCGGAAUUACUGGGCGUAAAGCGUGCGCAGGCGGUUGUGUAAGACAGGUGUGAAAUCCCCGGGCUUAACCUGGGAACUGCGCUUGUGACUGCACAGCUAGAGUAUGGCAGAAGGGGGUGGAAUUCCACGUGUAGCAGUGAAAUGCGUAGAGAUGUGGAGGAACACCGAUGGCGAAGGCAGCCCCUGGGCCAAUACUGACGCUCAUGCACGAAAGCAUGGGGAGCAAGCAGGAUUAGAUACCCCCGUAGUCCCUGUCUCUUAUACC